UUUAAGUGCAGUUGUGGAUUUAUGUGUCCGUCAUAUUUGAAUUUUUUUUAUGAUUAGUGUUUUUUUUAUUAGAUGAUAACACAUGAAUAGUACUUUAUGUGUGACUUAUUUUUAAAAAUUUUUUUUAUAAAUUUUCCAAAUAAGACUGAUGUUCAAACGUUGUACAUGGAAAUUUGCAACUGCACUUAAA
rnacentral:pre_miRNA from 1 species